CAAUAGCUAAACAAGAGCGUAUGGGGGAUGCCUAGGCUCUCAGAGGCGAUGAAGGACGUGAUAAGCUGCGAAAAGCUGCGGGGACGGGCACAUACCGAUUGAUCCGCAGAUAUCCGAAUGGGGCAACCCGGCAUGUUGAAGACAUGUCACCUAUUUAUAGGAGCGAACCCGGAGAACUGAAACAUCUAAGUACCCGGAGGAGAAGAAAACAAAAGUGAUUCCGUUAGUAGCGGCGAGCGAACGCGGAUUAGCCCAAACCAGUAUUGUUACGGCAAUGCUGGGGUUGUAGGACCACGACAUUGGUUGUGUAAUGAAUCAGAAUCCUUUGGAAAGAGGAACCGAAGAGGGUGAUAGUCCCGUACGAGUAAAGAUCAUAAACCAUAGGGGGAUCCUGAGUAGCGCGGGGCACGUGUAACC
rnacentral:rRNA from 1 species